AAAGGCAGCAAGUAUUACUCAACAAAAAAGGGGCUAAGAUUCAACCCCCCUUCUCUUAGCCACUGAUUACCAUCAAUUGAAUAAACAAAAUUGAAA